CUGACACAUCCCCUUUUCUCCUCUUCCCAUUUUUUAUUAUUUCGCAGUCAGCAAAUGAAUAAUUCAUAAUUGGCAUUAAGCAGAAAAAGCAUUGCCCCCAUCGCGGGCCGUGGUUUGGGCAGGGCUGUGCUUCCCUGCGGGGAUGGAGCAGAGGGGAUGGAGCGGGGAUGGAUGGAGCAGGGACGGAGGAGCCGGGAUGGAGCAGAGGGGCUGGAUGGAGAGGAGAUGGAGGAGCGGGGAUGGAUGGAGCAGGGAUGGAUGGAGCGGAGGGGAUGGAGGAGCGGGGAUGGAUGGAGCAGAGGUGGAGCAGAGGGGAUGGAUGGAGCAGGGAUGGAUGGAGCAGAGGGGAUGGAUGGAGCAGGGAUGGAUGGAGCAGAGGGGAUGGAUGGAGCAGGGAUGGAUGGAGCAGAGGGGAUGGAUGGAGCAGGGAUGGAUGGAGCAGAGGGGAUGGACAGAGCAGGGAUGGAUGGAGCAGGGAUGGGUGGAACAGAGGGGAUGGAUGGAGCAGAGGGGAUGGACGGAGCAGGGAUGGAUGGAGCAGAGUGGAUGGACGGAGCAGGGAUGGACGGAGCAGAGGGGAUGGAUGGAGUGGAGGGGAGCAGAGGGGAUGGACGGAGCAGGGAUGGACAGAGCAGAGGGGAUGGAACAGAGGGGAUGGAUGGAGCAGGGAUGGAUGGAGCAGAGGGGAUGGAUGGAGCAGAGGGGAUGGACGGAGCAGGGAUGGACAGAGCAGAGGGGAUGGAACAGAGGGGAUGGAUGGAGCAGGGAUGGAUGGAGCAGAGGGGAUGGAUGGAGCAGGGAUGCUGGAGAGCCGUAGCCUGGCUCAGAGCACCCUCUGCCGCCCGUGAGGGCUCCCAGCCUUUCCCUGCGCGGCGAGAAAACGGAUCCGGCUCCUUCCUAACGAAAUACCAGCAAUGACAGAGCGUUUCCCAGGCGAGGGUUUCCAUGCCCUCCCUCAGCGGGAAUUCAGCUGAGGCACGGAUGGGAUGCAGUCGGUGUUAAUCCCCUCUGACAGGUGAAGGCACGGGAAAACAAGGACCAGCUGCCUGCACGAUUCUCACCUCUUUAUAGGAUUUUUCCCAGGAGUCAUUAUUGCCUUCUCGCUCACCCCCAGGGCAGGGAGAGCCCCGUCCUGACCUCUUUCCUCGCCCCCACCCGGCUCCACAGUGCUCCGGCUCUCUGCCAUUAAACUCCUGCUGAG
rnacentral:lncRNA from 12 species